rnacentral:misc_RNA from 1 species
ACAAUGUCACACACACCGACCUACCUGCUGCUGUGAACACAUCUGAUGAUCAAGUUGAAGGUUUUCAUUCAGUUCAUUUAAACUUUCAUCUUCAAGAUUGUGGCAAGAGCUGGCAAACUUAUAGAGUGAGGGGGAAGACAGGCACCAUACAGAUUGUUUAUAGUCCAGUCACUGACUCUGAAAUACACUCCGCUUUUGUAGCUUGCAACAUCGAGCUAGAAGUUCCUCCGGGAAUGGUGGCUCAUGUUCUUGUGAUUACAAGCUUUCACUAUGGAGAAACUUCUAUAACUAUGCUAUUCGAUGGGGAAAAUGAAGAUGUCAGUGUGAUCCCCAAUGAAUUUAUCACAUACUCCAGUAUCGUAAGGCUUCAGCUGAAUAUAAGUAACGAUGCGGAAAACAGAUUUAUACUUCAUAAAUAUGUAAGUCGGUUCCCAAAUGAAUUUAUAACCAACUCCAACAUCGUCAGGUUUCAGCUGGAUAUCAGUAACCAAUGUGCUUUUAACCUCGGCCUAAACUUCACGGCAGUCCCAGAAGCUAGUCGGGUAAAGCUUGUUACUAAUUUUACCUCUACGACUAAAGGCUACAUAGAAACAUCACAGCUGAGUAAAAAUAUAAAGCCGAUUCCUUUUGUAAACACAUGGACUUACCUGGUGGCACCUGAUGACCACGUUAUUCUUAUUAACAUUCAUGCUUAUGAUACAAACACAGAAUGCUUCCUUGACUCUAAACUGUUUUCAGUAAUUUUUCACAUAGAGGCCAACUUUACAGAAUAUAAGAUCUGUCUAUUAGAUAAUAACGAAUACACUGAGCCAGUUAUUUACCACGGAGGUGUACGUGUACAAUACAAAAGUUUUUCCAAAUAUCAUCGGCGUUCCUUCAGAAUACUGUUCUCGUUCCACCACGUGUCGGCACUACCUGUUCAGCUGUCUGAAGGCAGGUGGAACUGCUCGGCCGUGCGAUGGGAGGACAUGCAGCAUCACUUCCCGUGUAACUUUGUGUCUAACUGUGUGGGCGGCGAAGAUGAAGCUGGAUGCUGGUCAGGUGACGGCACGUGCAGCCCGGGAACAUUGCAGGCUGGCGGCCGCUGCUUUUCACUUUCUCGUAUAGAGGAGCAAGAAGUAUCAUGGAAUCUUGCCAGUUACUGGUGUCAGCAAAGAGGAGAACAGUUGGCAAGUCUGUCCACAAGACGUGUGUGGGACGCUGUGAUGGAGAUGUGUAUGGAGAUUGACAAAUGCUAUGCAUUCUACAUCGGCGCGAGGUCAGCUCCUCCUGCAAUAUCCGCGAUGUAUCAAAACAGCUGGAUUUGGUCUGAUGAUACGAUGGCCCAUUUCAUUAAAUUGAGGUCACAUUUUAAAUCUUAUGUUCCCUCAAACGCUUGCACUAGGCUAGAGACGUCUGCUGUGUUUCAACUACGCCCAAGAGGAGAUCAGUCACUUUUUGUCCAAGGUUGUGCGGAAAAAACUUAUGUGAACUGUCUUUUAUGUGAAAUUCCGGACAACACAAGCCAUAUGAAGAAGCAGAACUGCCAGAGAUCCAAACAACAGUAACCUCAUCUCGCCUCGUCAAGUCAGGCUACAUACGGUGUCCCGAUCAUCACUUCACACACGUGUUUCUGGCGUGUGACAAGGCCUCUAGAUGCUGGGGUGGAACAGACGAUUCCACAGACUCCUGUCCUGCACCACUGACUUUACUGCCACCUCCCUUUCAAUGUGUCGUUGGACAUCAGAGUGUCCCCUACACCCUGGUCUGUGAUCAUCGAGCUGACUGCAUCGAUAGAAGUGACGAGGACUUCUGUGACUUUCCACCCUGCGAUAUACUGUCUCCUUUUCGAUGCGCAGGCAAAAGGUGUGUACAACAGUGGGAGCGCUGUAAUGGUCAAGUGGACUGUGACGACAGUGCCGACGAGAACCGGUGUGAAACAGAUAUCGAGUACAGUAAAGACAAUCUACACAUAAAACUCCCCUUGAUAAUGGAUCUCAAUGCAAGAGGAAUGUUUAUGUUUUCACCCUACAAGAAAGACGAAUACAAUUCCUCGACCAUUUUUUCCUGUCCUGAUUCCCACUUUACCUGUGUGAGUCUUGAGCAGGUGUGUCUGCCUGUCUACCUCCGAUGUAACGGUGUCAACGACUGUCCUGGUCACGAAGACGAGGCGGCAUGUGACAGGUACACGU